UGAACGCUGGCGGCGUGCCUAAUACAUGCAAGUCGCGCGAACAGACGCGGAGCUUGCUCCUCUGUCGUUAUCGGCGGACGGGUGUGUAACACGUGUAUAACCUACCUAUAAUACUGUGAUAUCUUCGGGAAACCGGAUCUAAUACCGGAUAAUAUAUUUAACCGCAUGGUUCAAUAUUGAAAGACUGUUUUUCUGUCUCUUUUAUAUUUAUCCUCGCCGCAUUAGCUAGUUGGUAAGGUAACGGCUUACCAAGGCAACGAUGCGUAGCCGACCUGAGAGGGUGAUCGGCCACACUGGAACUGAGACACGGUCCAGACUCCUACGGGAGGCAGCAGUAGGGAAUCUUCCGCAAUGGGCGAAAGCCUGACGGAGCAACGCCGCGUGAGUGAUGAAGGUCUUCGGAUCGUAAAACUCUGUUAUUAGGGAAGAACAAAUGUGUAAGUAACUAUGCACGUCUUGACGGUACCUAAUCAGAAAGCCACGGCUAACUACGUG
rnacentral:rRNA from 1 species